GGGGGGGGGGGGGUAGGUGAUGGCUUCUAACAUCCCUUGUAAUUGAAAAUCUGAUUCAGUAAUUCUGUGUCUCAUAUCUUAACCUGGAGAUUGUAAACUCUGAAGUCAGGAGCUAUUUUAUUGUUAUCGUUGCUAAUUGCUAUUGUCUAACACAAUGCUUUACAUACUUUAAAUGUUUGUUGAAUUGAACUGAAACCAAGCUGUUUUAACUGGACACAAAAGAAACCAGGUUGAGUUUGAGGAUAAAUUGAGGAUAAAAUACUGCUCUGCUAUAAAAAUAAUGAAAAGAUAGUUUCAGAGAAAUGUAGGAAGACCUGUAUGAACUGAUGCAAAGUUAAGAGAGCAAAACCAGGAACACAAUUUAUACUGUAACAGUAACAUUGUUAAAACACACACACACACACACACACACACAUACACACACGCCCCAACUCCUCUCACCACCCCAUUUUUUCAAUGAGGAGACUUAUGCACAAAGAUUAAAUGACUUAAUCCAAAGUCUCUCAGCUACUAUGUCUGAAACAAAAUUUGAACCCAGAUCUUCCUGAUAUCAAGCAGUAUUCUAUCCACUUUGUAUAAAUUCAUAUUUAUACAUAAAUGCAAAGUAAUUUUAAGAGGGAGACGACCUUAACAAUUCAGGAAAAAUAAUAUGUGUAGGAGUUGGGACCUAAACUAUCCUUUGAAAGACACUAAGGAUAUUAAAGUAGAAGUGGGGAAAAGCUGCAUUUUAGACAUGAGAGAUUGCCUUGCAGAGGUACAAGAUGGUAGUUUCACAAAAAAGGAACAGAUAGCAAGACAAUUUGGAAGUAGAGAGUAUGAAGGGGGGUGACAUGGACCAGAGCUAGAUAGGUAAUUUGGGAUCCUGAUUGUAGACAGUUUUAAGUACCAGGCUUAGGAUUUUAUAUUUAUCCUAGAGGCAAUAGGGAUCAUCAAAGAGUUUGUGUUUUAGAAAUAUAAUUUCACAACAGGUAUACCAAUAGAUAUCCAUGUGAGAAGUAAUGAAGGAUUGAACCAGGAGAGGCUGUAGUACUGGAGAUAAGGAAAAAGAUCAGAGAGAUAUUAUGAAGGUCAUAUCAACAAGACUUGACAAUUGAUAAAAUGUAGAAGGAAAGGGAAAAAUCACAAAUAAAUACAAAGUUAUGAACUUGAGUGACUGACACACUGGUGGUCCCUUUAACAGAAAUAGGGAAGUAUGACAGAGAAGCCGAUUUGGGAUGGAAAUUUAGCUUCCAUUUUGAACAUAUUGAAUUUGAGAUUCCUAUAGGAUGUGCAAGUGAAACUGUCUAUAGUUGGUAAAGCUAACCUAUAGUACUGGAGAGAUGAGGGCUGGAUACAUACAAUUGGAAAUCAUCUGCAUAAAGAUAAUUAAGGCAUGUGACCUGAUCACCAAGGAGAAAGGAGAAAGUAAGAAGAGAUAAUGACCAAGGAUGGAAAGUGGAGGCAACCCAUCUAUUAAUUGUGGGUGAUGAUCCAGCAAAGAAAAUUAAAGAGUGAGAUGUGAGGAGAGGCAAGUGAGAGUAGUAUUACAGCCCCAAGAACCACAUUCUACAAACCCUAUACCUAGUAAUAUCACAAGUAAGUCAAUACUGCAGGAAGCUUAAAGAAUAAAGUUUAUAUAUACAAAAAUAUCUAUAGCAAUUCUAUUUGUAGUAGCAAAGCUAAAAAUAAGAGUGUCUAUUAAUUGGGAAAUGGUUGAACAAAAAUUGUAAUAUACAGAUGUAAUAAAAUACUGCUCUGCUAUAAAAAUGAUGAAAGAGAUAGUUUCAGAGAAAUGUAGGAAGACCUGUAUGAACUGAUGCAAAGUUAAGAGAGCAAAACCAGGAACACAAUUUAUACUGUAACAAUAACAUUGUUAAAAAACACACACACACGCAAUUUUGAAAGACUUUAAAACUCUGAUCAUUGUAGUGAUCAACUAUGUUACAUAUGUCCAGACAUAAAAAGGUUAUAGAUUAAUAUACAGAAUGAGAAACAUUUUUUAUGUGACCAAUAUGGGAAUUUGUUUUGCUUGAUUAUGUAUAUAUGUUACAAGGGAUUUAUUUUACUUUUUUAGGGGAGAAAUAGGAGAGAAUUUUUUUUUAAUUUUUAAAAGAGAGAGAAGUCAAGAGAGAAGAGAAUAUGCAGGAGAGGCGAAGCGAUCAACAAUGUCAAAUGUUAUAGAGAGAUAAAUCUUUGUGAGUCAGGUGGUACAGGCUGUGGUCAUGGAGUGAAGUGAAGCUAAACAAUCCACAAAAGAAUUAAGCCUACCAUCUCUGCCUCUUUAGGCCCAUCCUUAGCCUACUGAGCAUCGGGUCACGGAUGAUCAACUUUAUUAUGUUCCUACCUCUGAAGACUUAGUGAAGCUAAUGGACAACAGGAGACAAACACAGGAAUGAACUAAUACAGCUAUAAAAAAUUAUGUACAGAAGAGUCAUAUGCAAGCAACAAGUAUGUAAUAGUUGUAUACAUGUGCUAAAUACUAUGCGGCCUCAAGAAGCUUACAUUCUAAUAAAGACAACACAUAAGCUGAAAAACAUACCAUCCCAACUCCUACCAUUUCAAGACCUGGUUAUCUAGAAUAGCAGAGGUUCAAGACUAUAUAGAUCUCCCCUAAUUUUAAAAAGUAAUGCUUCUCUUCUAAAAUAGACAUCUUGGUUCAUCAGAAUCUAUCCACUCAGUGGUUUUCCUUCCUUCCUGCUGGAUUUUUAUGCCCAGGGAGAUUAUUCUUGAUAUGUUUUUCUUGUUCCAUUUGACUUCCAAAAAGGCCUAACCUUCUCCAGAACCCUCUUCCCAAGGUACAUUCAGUAAGGUGGUUUCCCUAUGUAUGUGUGAACUCUAUACCCUCUUCACUCUCCAUAUAGCUUCACACCUCUCUUUUUUUUAAUUAGGUUAAUAAAUUUGUUCCCUGAAGUUUCGACAUAUUUAGGUUCAAUAUGAGGAGAAAACUUCCUUAAAAAUAAAGCUAUACUAAAGUGCCUGAUAGGUAGUGGAUUCCCCUUCUUACAGGCCUUCAAGUGAAGACUGGAUGACUGCUUUUUAGCAAUUCUUGCUCAGGCAUAGUCUGUCCUCUGAAGUACCUUCAGAACCUAAGAUUCUAUGUGAUUCUUUGCAGGCAGGAAAAGAUGAAAUAAAGUUAAAAGGAGUUUUACCUGGAUGGAUCAGAGAUUUCAUACCAGAAUUUAGCCAGAAAUCAGUAAAGGAAAACGGGAGUUUUUAGUUGGAGGAGUUGGAGUCAUGCAAAAGGAUUAGAACUUUAUGUGAUGGACAGCCCAGAGUCACCACAGGGAAAAAAACUUAGAGCCCUGCUUCACCAAGUCCAGGUUCUUCUGGCUCUAUUUUGACAAGAUGUCUUAGCAUCAGCCUUUUCCUUUUAUAAUUUAACACUGCAAGAGAGAGAGAAGAGCUUUAAGUAAAGCAAGGGUUCUCCCUCUGGAUUUGCCACCAGUGGUUUUGAGUGCUUCUCAAAUGAAAGCUGAAGGCCAAGGGCAUGCCUGCUAUCCCCUAGUGCAGGAAGUUAAUGGUUUCUUUAAUGCUCUGCAAAAGAAAGAGCAGGGGUUGUUAAGUCAAAGUGUUCGCCCUCUGGGCUUACAAGUUAUGAUUUUUUAA